GCCAAGGACCAAUAAGGACCUGCUUCAGAGACCUCAAUUCCAGUCUCUCCUCUCCUAAGUUUCUAUCCCUCAGCUUCAUUAGGGUCCCUACUACUGAAACCCUCUCUUCCAAACACAUGCUCUUCUUAUUUUGGAACUUGCCUCUCCUGGGCCACGUCUGAGAAGGAUGUAAUUACAUUUGAGAAUUGUGGGAGCUAGCACAUAUACAACUAUGGCGAAAUACAGCCAUUUGCAAUGUUACCAGGAAUUCACUUAUCCUGAACGAGCACCUUAUGGUUUAAGGUCAUCUCAGUCAGAGACUAUGAACUGUGCUGUAGAAGGAUAAAUAUCCUAUUGUUCCUGCAUACUGUGUGUUACUCCACAAAGAGAACCUGUCCCCUCGUUCCUCUUACCAAACAGGACUCUCUGGCUGUGCGUUUGUGCGCACACGUGCACAGGAGACCUUAAUGCCAACCAGCUGCUGCAGCUGAUACAAGAACUUGCCAUAGAUCACUGGGAUUGCAUUCCACAAGUUUCUUCAGGACAAUCAAGCUAUGAAAUAAAAUUGUAAUUGCAAUACCAUUGUGUGGCCCUGGUCACAAAUUUAAUCCAGUAAACUACAGUUAGAAGGCUA